rnacentral:tRNA from 1 species
UGUAGCUCAAUGGUAGAGCGCCGGACUGUGGCUCCGGAUGUUGCGGGUUCAAUCCCCGUCACUCACCCCA